rnacentral:rRNA from 1 species
GGGGGGGGGGGGGGGGGGGGGGGGGGCGGGCGGGGGGGGCGGGGGGGGGGGGCUGGCGGGGUGCUCGGGUGGGGGACGGGUGAGUAGCGCGUGGGGGAUCUGCCCUGCACUUCGGGAUAAGCUUGGGCAACUGGGUCUCAUACCGGAGAGGAGCCAUCUUUAGUGUGGUGGUUGGAAAGUUUUUUCGGUGUAGGAUGAGCUCGCGGCCUAUCAGCUUGUUGGUGGGGUAAUGGCCUACCAAGGCGGCGACGGGUAGCCGGCCUGAGAGGGUGUACGGCCACAUUGGGACUGAGAUACGGCCCAGACUCCUACGGGAGGCAGCAGUGGGGAAUAUUGCACAAUGGGCGCAAGCCUGAUGCAGCGACGCCGCGUGGGGGAUGAAGGCCUUCGGGUUGUAAACUCCUUUCGCUAGGGACGAAGCUUUUUGUGACGGUACCUAGAUAAGAAGCACCGGCUAACUACGUG